AUGUGUUUUUUAAAUUAUGUUUUUUUAUAUAUCUUCGUUAUUCAUUUCAGAAAUACUUAUAAAUCUCUCACUAUCAUCAUUGUUCAUUUAAAUAGUGAUUGCUAUUGUCUCUUGUCAUUUAGACUGCAAAAUAUUUAUUUAUUUCAAUGUUUGGUGUUACGGCAGGAUGUGACAGAGAUUGGAAUUAACUCCACAUACUACGAUACUCUAAUUUGA